UUUGUGUGUCUUUGGUGGCAUCAGUAAUCUAAUACGAUUUGCCACCU
rnacentral:antisense_RNA from 10 species